rnacentral:rRNA from 1 species
GACAGAGGGUGCAAGCGUUAAUCGGAAUUACUGGGCGUAAAGCGCAGGUAGGUGGGACAAUUAGUCAGUUGUGAAAGGCCAGGGCUUAACCUUGGGAUUGCGAUUGAAACGGUUGUUCUAGAGGUCAGUAGAGGUGAGUGGAAUUUCCGAAGUAGCGGUGAAAUGCGUAGAGAUCGGAAGGAACACCAGUGGCGAAGGCGACUCACUGGACUGAACCUGACACUGAGCUGCGAAAGCGUGGGGAGCAAACAGG